GCGACGGAGAGGCUCGGCAUCCUGCACCACGAGAGCAGAUUGGGUUUUCCUAUGCUCGAUUCCAUUGCUGGACCGCUGGAGUGGGUACUGGGUGAGUUGGAGUUCGAUUUCGUUAUGGAUGUGCGGCCCGUGGUAACAAUUAGGGAGAGGUAUUUAAUCUGUCGGCUAGGAUCUGCAUUGGGAUUUUGAGAAUUAAGUGUGACCAAGCGGUGUAUAGUUGUCAAUCAAUUCCGUGAUUUGAAGUUUGCCCUUAAUUAGAAACCUGAAACUCAAGAACGUGGGUUUAUGUAUUUUAUCAGCCUAAAUGAAAUAAAUCAGUUACUUUGCACAACCAAGUCGAUAUUGUGUUUAAUUAGUAAUUAGUGAAAAAAUAUUGCAUAUAUAAUUAAGAAGUUACAUGAGCAGGUUCCAUUGUCAAGAUGAGGGCAUUGGCAUACAAACGCAUUGCUCUGAAUAUUCUGUUCCUUACAAGCUCGUAUGUAUUACAUGCACCAGGAGGGAAGGAACACCGUCUGCGGAGUUACUUAUGACAGUACUUUUUUGGGUCAUUCAAUCAGUGGACUCUGGUAUAACUCCUGACAAAUUCUUGAAAUCUUUAGUCAUGAGUAUCAUUUAUCUUUUACACUCUUGUUUUCCUCACUUAUGUCUGUCCAGGAGUAUAGUCGAUCAAUUUGCUUGCUUACAUAUCUUUACGUAGGAAUUUCUGUGUUGCUGGCAUUUACAACUUCAUGCUAUGGGGUGGGGAUACAAGUGUGAAAACUUGGAGAUCAAUAAAGGGACAAGUUGUUUAGCAUUUAUCUACCCUCUCGGCAGUGAUUGCAUAACAUGGCCGGCAGGUUCUUCGCCAGCUCUAACUCCCUGGUCUGACUAGAGAUGUAUAUGUGCUUGGCACUUGACCCAGCUGACACAUAUGCCUGUGUAGAUCAUUGGUGUCUGCGCCAUCUGCUGGUGGAUGGCACAAGAGGUGUUCAAGCGAGUGAAUGACAUGUACGCCGUGGCGGCACAACCCUGUUUCGGGGAGAAAAGGACUGAGGCCCUAUAGGUAACAACACAUCAUUCAGCCACGCGAAACAAACUUGUUAAGUACCUCAUUGUUAUACUGCACACACUUCUCGUAAUACUUAGCCAAAACUAUAAAUAGCUGCGGGAUAAAUUGUUCUUGUACAAACAAGGGGGUGGCUUUUCGAUACACUUUGGAGAAGACCCUGCUGUUAAAGAAGAUUAUGAUGGUACAGAGCACUCCGGAAACUAGAUACCAGACACCAACAUGAUUUGAUUGUCCAGUAUAUUUGAUGCUGCAAAAUCUGGAAGCUGCAAAUGUAAUGCUGAACAUCUCAUUUCAAAGUAUUAUGUAAUGAUGUUUUUUUCUCUUUUAACUUUUUCUUUAUAUCUUAAUAAAUGUCGCGGUUAUUAAUUUAACUUUGGGAUAAGAAUACGAUUUUCUGUCUCAUUUGGUACAUAGAAGCUUGAGCCUUUUCCCUUUUGUGUUCUCAUCCAUUAUUAUCUUGCAUAAAUAUAUGAUCGUUGUUUUUCUCUUGCUAAGCUAUUUUGUACAAAUUCAUGCUUUAACCAGUAACCACUACUAUUCUUCUCAUGCAGAUACGCGGUGAAAUAAAUUAUAUUCCAUGGCCAUUGAAUUCGAUAAUUAUACUGGUUUCUUUUUUUGACUCAAACAUGUAGGGUUUUCUGAAAGCAUUAGUUUUUUGACUGUUAGAAAGUAUAUAUGAAGGAAUAUUUCUGGGUAGUUCAAUGUCUUUUGAUUGUAAGACUAAACUAUAUACCAUCUACAUAUCUUUA
rnacentral:lncRNA from 1 species